rnacentral:lncRNA from 1 species
GAUGCCAAGGUAUGAUCCCAAAGCUAAUGCAUAUGAUGAAGUAGCAUGAGGGAUCUUAGGGUCAAAAUUGGGGUCUUACAAUAUGAUAUAAAUUAUAGGAGAUAGGGUCUAGGGAACCCCAGAUUUGAUCAGAUGAAUUCCUCUAGUCAACCACAAUCAACCAUCUUGCUAGCUUGCAAUUCUCUUGACUCUUGGGACACAUGGAGGAUCAUAUAAGCAUAAGAUAAUGAAAUUUGAAGUAUCCCUUGAAAUAUUUGAUCAAUUAUUGAAGAAGCUUGUUCAAG